rnacentral:pre_miRNA from 1 species
GAUUUCAAUUGAAAAUGUCAUCAACAACAAAGUUGAAUAACUCAUCAAGAUCUAAAACUUUUAUUUUUGUUAUUUCUUCAUCCAACAAAAUGUUAAUAACAUUAUUCCCAAAUUUUACAUAUGUGUUAUAAUUUAUAAACCAGAUAAGAGAUAUGUUAUGUUUGUGAACAAUGUUACUAUGCACUUUGUCGUAUGAAGAAAUGACCAAAAUAAAAGUUUUAGAUCUUGAUGAGUUAUUCAACUUUGUUGUCGAUGACUUUUUCAGUUGAUAUC